rnacentral:ncRNA from 1 species
UUAUCAAGGGGUGCCCAUUUUGUGGUGGGCUGAGAUUAAACCCUCUCACCUGAUGCGGAUAAUACCGACGUAGGGAUGAUAA